UUUCAGUAUGGCUGAUGGUCUUUCGUAAAUGAGUAUAAAAGCAAAAUAAGUAUCUUUUUAUACGUGUACUGUAAGUAUACCAAGAUGGCGGGUUAUUGAUGGUUUUGAGUAUUACGUUGAUAUCGUAGUUUUUGAGUGUAGAAACAUACAUAUUUUUGUUUAUACUAAAAUACAUAUUUUUAUUAAAGUUCUUUAGCGUAUACAAAAUGGGAUCAUCCGAUUUAGAGUAUAUUGACUCAAAGCAAGAUAUUCAUAGCAUAGAUGAACAUGCUGAUUUGUUUGAACAGAAAAAGAAAAAAAAAAGGAAACAUAAACACCACAAACAUAAAAAAGAUAAAAUUGUAGACAAGGAAAAAAUAGACGCAAAAGUUGAUCGACAAGACAGAAAAAAACAUAAGAAACACAAAAAGCUUCAAAAAGAUAAAGAAGUGGAAAAUAAUGGCAUUGCAGGAGAGAAAGUUCCUGUAAAAAAUGAUACUAAAGAAUCAGGUAUAAAUGGUAAAGUUGUUAACUCUGUAAUGGAAAUUGCGUCUACUGAAAGUGAAGGUGAAAAUCUAGUUGAUUUAGAUUCAGAUGAAGUAGACUGCACCAUUAUCGAAGAUGAUGUCGAUCUAGAGGAGCUAAUGAAACAAAAAGAACGACUUCAAGCAUGUUUAGUGCAAUAUCUUUCUGAUGAAUCAGAAAAAGAUGAAAAAAGGUUUAAUCGUGAAGAAAUAACAAAAAAAACCCCUGACGUUAUCCUUGUAGAGGAUGAUAGUGGUGAUGAUAUUAUUGCUAAACAAAAACGCCACCGAAGUAGAUCUGGGAGUAGAGAACGUAAGAAAAAUAUUAAAUCAACAGACCGAAUUGUAACAGAUAUAACUCGUGUUAAAAAAUCUAAGCAGGAUGUAGGUGAAAAACGGAAAGAAGGAGAUAGAAGGCGUGAUGAGACAACUAAACAUAAUGACGAAUCAAAGAAAUCUGAUAAAUUGCGAAAAGUAAUAGAAAAAAAAGAGGUAACUCGAAAAGACGAUGUAAGGAAACGUAUAGAUGAAGAUCGUCGUAAAGAGGUCGGGAAACGAGAUGAAUUACGAAAGCGUGAUCACGACAUUAAAGAAGAUGAACGGAAACGUGAAGAUUAUCGUUCGUCUAAAUCACGAAAUGAUUCUAGUAAUCGAGAUAUGAAAGGAAAUUCUAAAAAUUUAAAGCCAGCAGAAAAUCGAAAUUGUCAUUCAGGUAGAGAUAGAGAUGCACGGAGUCGAGAGCCAGUAGUAAGUAAAGAUGGUCAUAGUAGUCGAGACAAAGGAGACAACUGGGAUAAACAUAAUAAUAGAGAUCGUUAUACAUCUAAUCGAGAUACAGCAAGUAGUCGAGACUCGCGGAAUCAUGAUAAAACUUGCGAACGAUCUAGAAGAUCACGAAGUCCCGCGCGAUAUAGGAAUGAUAGAGACCGAAAUGAUAGGUAUCGGCGAUCAAGAUCAUUGUCUCGAAAUCGUAGAGAUCGAGACAGACAUGGACGAAAUGACAGAGAUCGAGAAAAAAAUGGUAAGCGCGAACGAGGUGAUAAAUACAAAGAUUCGCUUUCUGAAGGCUUGAAGGUUGAGAGAUCUGAUAGCUCUAGUGAAGAUGAUCUUAAAGAUAUUGAUAUUGAAGAGGAGGAAGAUGAAGAAACUAUUAUUGAAAGGCGGAGAAAACAAAGAGAAGAGUUACUUAAACGAUUAGGUGGGCCAACUGAGGAUUCAAAUAUGUCUACAGAUGUUAUUGUAAAUGAUAACCCCGUUAGUACCGAACAAUCGAGUUCGUCUUCAAAGCAUGUAGAAGCAAUAAAUAACAGCGAUUCGAAUUCGGAAAGUCAUACUCCGCCGUUACCGGAUCAAAACAAGUUACAACUGUUGGCUAAGAAAAGAAAAUCAAGAUUUGAUGAACCACCAACAAAGAAAAAAUCGGAAAAUCAAGAAGAAGUUAAGACAAAUGAAAAAAAUGAUGAUAAGAUUAAUGUUAAAAAAACUAGUGAAUGGGAUAUGUUUGCUGAUGUUGACAAUGUGGGAGAUUUUAAUAGUCCAACUGUUGAAGGCAAUCGAGUGGGUGGUCACGAAAAUCCAAGCUUAACUGAUAAUUGGGAUGAUGCUGAAGGAUAUUACCGUGUGCGAAUUGGUGAGACUCUUGAUAGCCGAUACACCGUCUAUGGAUAUACCGGUCAAGGAGUUUUCAGUAACGUUGUUAGAGCUAGAGAUACCACACGAGGAGGUAUGGAUGUUGCUGUCAAAAUUAUAAGAAACAAUGAAAUAAUGCAUAGGACAGGUCUUAAGGAACUUGAAAUUCUCCGGAAGCUAAAUGAUGAGGAUUCAGAAGAUCGUUUUCACUGUCUGAGAUUAUAUCGACACUUCUUUCAUAAAAAUCACUUGUGCAUGGUUUUCGAGCCUCUUUCAAUGAAUUUAAGAGAGGUUUUGAAAAAAUAUGGCAAAGAUGUAGGUCUGCAUGUUAAAGCAGUGCGUUCGUACUCACGACAAUUGUUUCUUGCCUUAAAACUAUUAAGUAAAUCAAAUAUUUUACAUGGUGAUAUAAAACCAGACAAUAUUCUAGUCAGUGAAAAUAAAAUUGUAUUAAAAUUAUGUGAUUUUGGAUCGGCAUGUUAUGCACAUGAAAACGAAAAUACACCAUAUCUUGUUUCAAGAUUUUAUCGUGCCCCGGAAAUAAUUCUUGGAAUAAAAUAUGAUUGUGCUAUUGACAUGUGGUCAGUUGGAUGUACGAUAUAUGAAUUGUAUACUGGCAAAAUUAUGUUUUCUGGCAAAACAAAUAAUCAAAUGUUAAAAUUUUUCAUGGAUCUCAAGGGCAAAAUGCCUAACAAAUUAAUAAGAAAAGGGGCAUUCAAAGACCAACACUUUGAUGCUAAUUGCAAUUUUCUAUAUCAUGAAGUUGACAAAGUCACUGAAAGGGAAAAAGUUGUCGUUAUGUCAACCAUUCCUCCAACGCGAGAUCUUGGGGCAGAGCUUGGUGGAACUUCGUUAUCUGCUGAGCAAAAAAGUAGGGUCAGCCCGGUCAACCAACUAAAAGACUUGCUAGAACGCAUAAUAACAUUGGAUCACACCAAAAGAAUGAAAGUGAAGGAUGCACUGUCUCAUCCGUUUAUACAAGAAAAAAAUUAGAUCACUCUUCAAUUAAUUUUUCAAUGACCAUUGAUGGAGCUGGUGAGGGCCAAUAGCGCCGUUCCCGUUGCAAGCCCUCCCUGUAAGGGAGGAAAUGAAUGAAGAAUUCAUCAAGAUCAGAACAUCAAGAUUAAGAACUCAACUGGUGGAAUCUCUACUCUGGUGGAACAAGAUUCAAGCGUACACUUAACUUCUGAUACCAUUCCAAGUGAGAAACGAGUCCUUCGGAAAACACAUAACUAGUCAGUUUAUAUUUCCAAAUAAUUUUAGUAAGUAUUGUUAUUAACAGGUAAGGUGACAGUAUUUUUAAUUUUUUAAUCUAGACUUUUUUUUAUAAAUAAACAAAUUUUUUUUUUUUUUAAUCAGACGUAAUUUGGAAGUCAUUUUAUUAAAGCAUGUACCAAGAUGAAUUUUUUUACCGUGAUUUGCACAUUACGUCUGAAUACUUAUUAAUAAAUAUGAAA
rnacentral:misc_RNA from 1 species